AGGGUGGACCACAUGGACAGCUCCUUAGUGGUCAAUGAAAAUAAGGACAUUUUCUUCAGCGUCACUAAUGAUCUGUCACAACAUCAGACGUGAGUCUCCAUAUCCUCCUCUGUAGGUUUUUCUGUGUCCUACCAAACACACAUCAGUUUUCUCACAUGACAAUCUAUGUGUGGAGUUCACUUCACUGACGGAAGAAAGUGGAAAAUAUGUCUUUGUCUUAUAUUCUUCUCAUUUAUGUUGCCGGUGUUGCGGUAAAAGAAAGUUGUGCAGAUUCGGUUCCCACUCCCACUAUUGUAUUUUCCCCUGAGUACAUCAAUGUAGCAACACCUGUUACAGUACGCUGUGAGUCACCAGAAGGCACAGAGUGCAAUUUCUACAGAGAUCACGACCCCAACCCUAUAAGAAAAGUAGAUUACAAGCAGGGUGCUUGCCAGUUCAAGUUGUUAUGGAAUGAGUUCAAAAAGUGGAACAAGACUGAAGUAGAUCUCAGCUGUGUAAUUCAACAGAACAGAGAAGGUAAAACGAUCAAAACCUCAAAACCUAGUGAUGCUCGAAGACUUAAUGUGGGUGAUCCAAUUGCAAAGCCCAGUGUUCAUGUGGAGAAGAUUGGGAAUUACCUCGGUCUUCGAUGUGAGGCCAAGGCUGGCACCUCAUGCUACUUUUAUCUGAACAAUGGUGACUCACACUUUAAUAAACUACCCUACAAAGACAAUGUCUGUGUGGGGAGAGUGGCAGAAGAGGAACUGCAGAGGAAGAGGAGCGGUGCUGGAGAGAUCUUCAUCACCUGUGCUGUGGAGCUGGUGGUAGAGGGUGAAGAUACUGUGACAUCACAGCAUAGUGAACCUUUCGGUAUCACCAUAGAUGUGUUAAAUCCUCCAAGAGCUACGAGUUCCCCAUCAGAGUUCAGUUUAAUCAUAACUGGUCAGGAGGAGACAAGCAGCAAUGUCACAGCCCAAGGAAGAGUUUCUUCAGGUCCAGUGUUCCAUCAUCAUCAGUCUGGGUGCUGGUUCCCUUUUCCUGGUUCUGCUAGCUGGGUCUGUGCUGUGUGUUCUCCAAAGCAAUUGUGGGGUUCAAUGCAGGCCUGUAAAUACUGGAAGCCCACCUGAUCAGCAAGACCAAACCCCACCUUGUGUCUAUUCUGUCAUCACAAAGCCGUCUAGGGAUGAGGAAGAGGACAGUAGUCUGCAAUACGCUACUGUGACAUAUACCAGUGACCGAGCUAGUCUUCAAUAUGCAACAGUGACAUCUACCGGUAACCAAGUUGGACCUGGGCGCAGCAAGAUCAAGUUUGAAAUAGCUGGAGAGUACGCCCUCUUAGCAGAAUCAUAGAAGAAGAAACAUUUACUGGAUAACAUGUUUUGCCAUAGUUUACAGUUACAAUCCUAUCUUUUUUUCUUCAUAUUGGAUCAUAAUUUAGUCAUAGCACAAAGAACACUGCCACAACAACAAAGAUAUCUACUAAUUUCUGAAAACAAGCAGUUUCAACUAUUUGCAUUUUAGGUUAAAUUAAAUAAAUAAAAAAAUUAACUCUAUCUGAAACAUAAAAUAAAUAUUUUUCUAAAUUGAGUUACUCAAUGUAGUCAGCAGUCACAAAUCAGUAUUCACCAAUCUAUUUCACUCAUUGACAAGAGUCAAUAGAGUCUCAAAUCCACAAGAGGGUAGAACACAUGUCAAACUUUGCUUGUUACAUCUCACAUCUCUCUCUCCCUUUCUGAUCUCUCGCUCUCUACAUCUCUCUCUUUAACCUUGUCUGGUGUAUAUUAGUUUUCAGUGGGGGAAAAGGUACUCAACUGUCAUACUUGAGUAAAAGUAAAGAUACCUUCAUAGAAAAUGACCCAAGUAAAAGUAAAAGUCACCCAGUAAAAUUCUACUUGAGUAAAAGUCUAUAAGUAUUUGGUUUAAAAUAUACUUAAGUAUGAAAAAUAAAAGUAUAAAUAAUUUCAAAUUCCUUAUUUUAAGCAAACCAGAGUCCACCAUUUUCUUUUUUUUCUCUUUUUUUUACGGAAUGCCAGGGGCACACUCCAACACUCAGCCAUCAUUUACAAACAAAUCAUGUCAGUUUAGUGAGUCCGCCAGAUCAGAAGCAGUAGGGAUGACCAGGGAUGUUCGGUUGAUAAGUCUGUGAAUGUCACUAUCUUCCUGGCCUGCUAAGCAUUCAAAAUGUAAUGAGUACUUUUGGGUGUCAAUGAAAAUGUAUGGAGUAAAAAGUACAAUAUUUUCUUAAGAAUGUAGUGAACUAAAAGUAAAAGCAGUCAAAAAUAUAAAUAGUAAAGUGUAGAUACCCCAAAAAGCUACUUAAGUGUUACUAUAAAGUAUUUUUUACUUAAGUACUUUACACUUCCAUUAGUUGAAAAAAAAUAUGUUUUGUUAUUAUGAUGGUUUAAUUACAGUAUGUGUCUUUACUUCCACCUGUUGAUACACUACCUCCAUUUUUCCUCUCUCUGAUUCCUGAUUCACAAAUCAAAUCAAAUCAAAUGUUAUUGGUCACAUACACAUGGUUAGCAGAUGUUAAUGCGAGUGUAGCGAAAUGCUUGUGCUUCUACUUCUGACCAUCCAGUCAUAUCUAACAAGUAAUCUAACAAGUUCACAACAUCUACCUUUUACACACAAGUGUAUAGGAAUGAAUAAGAAUAUGUACAUGUAAAUAUAUGGAUGAGCAAUGGCCGAACGGCAUAGGCAAGAUGCAGUAAAUGGUAUAGAGUACACUAUAUACCUAUGAGAUGAGGAAUGUAGGGUAUGUAAACAUUAUAUAAAGUGGCAUUGUUUAAAGUGACUAGUGAUACAUUUAUUACAUCCAAUUUUUUAUUAUUAAAGUGGCUAGAGAUUUGAGUCAGUAUGUUAGCAGCAGCCGCUCAAUGUUAGUGAUGGCUGUUUAACAAUAUGAUGGCCUUGAGAUAGAAGCUGUUUUUCAGUCUCUCGGUGUCAGCUUUGAUGCACCUGUACUGACCUCGCCUUCUGGAUGGUAGCGGGGUGAACAGGCAGUGACUCGGGUGGUUGUUGUCCUUGAUGAUCUUUUUGGCCUUCCUGUGACAUCAGGUGGUGUAGGUGUCCUGGAGGGCAGGUAGUUUGCCCCCGGUGAUGCGUUGUGCAGACCUCACUACCUUCC
rnacentral:lncRNA from 1 species